rnacentral:rRNA from 1 species
CUCAACGACCGUACCGCAAACCGACACUGGUGCGCGAGAUGAGUAUUCUAAGGCGCUUGAGAGAACUCAGGAGAAGGAACUCGGCAAAUUGACACCGUAACUUCGGAAGAAGGUGUGCCCUAUUAGUGUGUAGUGAACAACGAAGCAUGAAUGGGUUGCAAAAAAUCGGUGGCUGCGACUGUUUAUUAAAAACACAGCACUCUGCAAACACGAAAGUGGACGUAUAGGGUGUGACGCCCGCCCGGUGCUGGAAGAUUAAAUGAUGGGGUGCAAGCUCUUGAUUGAAGUCCCAGUAAACGGCGGCCGUAACCAUAACGGUCCUAAGGUAGCGAAAUUCCUUGUCGGGUAAGUUCCGACCUGCACGAAUGGCGUAACGAUGGCCACACUGUCUCCUCCUGAGACUCAGCGAAGUUGAAAUGUUUGUGAUGAUGCAAUCUCCCCGCGGAAAGACGGAAAGACCCCAUGAACCUUUACUGUAGCUUUGUAUUGGACUUUGAACAGAUCUGUGUAGGAUAGGUGGGAGGCUUUGAAGCAGGGUCGCUAGAUCUUGUGGAGCCAACGUUGAAAUACCACCCUGGCGUGUUUGAGGUCCUAACCUAGGUCCAUUAUCUGGAUCGGGGACAGUGCAUGGUAGGCAGUUUGACUGGGGCGGUCUCCUCCAAAGCGUAACGGAGGAGUUCGAAGGUACGCUAGUUACGGUCGGACAUCGUGACGAUAGUGCAAUGGCAUAAGCGUGCUUAACUGCGAGACUGACAAGUCGAGCAGAUGCGAAAGCAGGACAUAGUGAUCCGGUGGUUCUGUAUGGAAGGGCCAUCGCUCAACGGAUAAAUGGUACUCUGGGGAUAACAGGCUGAUACCGCCCAAGAGUUCAUAUCGACGGCGGUGUUUGGCACCUCGAUGUCGGCUCAUCUCAUCCUGGGGCUGUAGCCGGUCCCAAGGGUAUGGCUGUUCGCCAUUUAAAGAGGUACGUGAGCUGGGUUUAAAACGUCGUGAGACAGUUUGGUCCCUAUCUUCCGUGGGCGCUGCAGAUUUGAGGAAGCCUGCUCCUAGUACGAGAGGACCGGAGUGGACACACCUCUGGUGUAUCGGUUGUCACGCCAGUGGCAUUGCCGAGUAGCUAAGUGUGGAAGAGAUAACCGCUGAAAGCAUCUAAGCGGGAAACUCGUUUCAAGAUGAGAUCUGCCGGGGCCUUGAGCCCCCUAAAGAGUCGUUCAAGACCAGGACGUUGAUAGGUCAGGUGUGGAAGCG